CCAAACCUGGUUGAUCCUGCCAGUAGUCAUAUGCUUGUCUCAAAGAUUAAGCCAUGCAUGUCUAAGUAUAAGCGACUAUACUGUGAAACUGCGAACGGCUCAUUAAAUCAGUUAUGGUUUAUUUGAUGGUACCUACUACUUGGAUAACCGUAGUAAUUCUAGAGCUAAUACAUGCAGGAAGACCCGACUCACGAA
rnacentral:rRNA from 1 species